rnacentral:rRNA from 1 species
AUACGUAGGGUGCGAGCGUUGUCCGGAAUUAUUGGGCGUAAAGAGCUUGUAGGCGGUCUGUUGCGUCGGAAGUGAAAACUCAGGGCUUAACCCUGAGCCUGCUUUCGAUACGGGCAGACUUGAGGGAUGUAGGGGAGAACGGAAUUCCUGGUGGAGCGGUGGAAUGCGCAGAUAUCAGGAGGAACACCAGUGGCGAAGGCGGUUCUCUGGACAUUUCCUGACGCUGAGAAGCGAAAGCGUGGGGAGCAAACAGGCUUAGAUCCCCUGGUAGUCCACGCCGUAAACGGUGGGCACUAGGUGUGGGAUCCUUCCACGGAUUCCGUGCCGUAGCUAACGCAUUAAGUGCCCCGCCUGGGGAGUACGGCCGCAAGGCUAA